AGUGAACGCUGGCGGCAGGCCUAACACAUGCAAGUCGAACGGCAGCACAGCAGUAGCAAUACUGUGGGUGGCGAGUGGCGGACGGGUGAGGAAUACAUCGGGAUCUACCCGGUUGUGGGGGAUAACGUAGGGAAACUUACGCUAAUACCGCAUACGACCGAGAGGUGAAAGCGGCGGACCGCAAGGCGUCGCGCGAUCGGAUGAACCGAUGUCGGAUUAGCUAGUUGGUGAGGUAAAGGCUCACCAAGGCGACGAUCCGUAGCUGGUCUGAGAGGAUGAUCAGCCACACUGGAACUGAGACACGGUCCAGACACCUACGGGAGGCUG
rnacentral:rRNA from 1 species